ACAUUGUUUUUUGUUUUUUUUUUUGUCUUUAUCUUUCUUGGAUAUAGUUAUUGACAUGUAGAGUGUAGAUGAUGCUGGGAAUGAAGAAGACCUCUCCGGCCAUUGCUUCUGCAAUGUCUAAUCUCGCUCCUGGCCUCAUCUUCAUCGUUGCAGUCUGCCUCAGUUUCAGUGCCUUGCAGGUUGGAGAAGUUUGAAGUAGAAUACUGGUACAGUAGAGCCAAAGUUGGGGAAACAUUUGUAUGCUUUAGUGGUGCUGUAGCAAUGAGCUGCUUCCGCAGCAAUUCCAAUUCUCCCAACUUAAAAAGCAAGGAGCCAAAAUUAUUGAUGAAGCACUUGGACAAGGACACCUACAGCGAUUGGAUCUUAGGCUGCUUCUAUCUCUUAGCAGCAGUAGUUUUGCAAUUGCAGCAUUAAUGCAGACUGCAAAUAUGAUGAGGUUCAUCUUCAUGCGUGAUAACUUCUGUGCUGGCUUCUGCUCUCACUGCACUGAUGCAAGUCCUAACACAAGGCAAAAUACAUGUUGGUGACACUGCCAUCUAUACUUGGUUCUUGGGAGGAGCAAUGGUUGGUGUGUGCAUAGCAUUGCAGAUGUGGUGUCUGAACAGAAAAGGCCCUCCUCUUGUUGCCAUCUUUAGCCCCAUCCAAACACUCUGUGCAGCUAGCUAUUCUUUCAGCCAUCCUCUCCGGGCAGAUCAUAAGUUUAGGAAGGUAGGAAGUGGCAUCCAAUUCUGAUUUCCUUUAGUUGGUCAGGUAUAUUUUGAAUUGCAUGCCAUGAGUGUGAGAAGUUGGUAGAAAGAUAAGGCUGACACCUAUCCACACUCCAAAAGCUAAUAAAAUGCUGUCUUGAGUUUAAUCUAUCCCCCAACAAUUCCCCACUUUGACUUAACUGAGUGCAGCUGUAGAAUAAUACAUCACAUGCAUUAGAGUCUGAAAUAGUAGUUCUCCAGGGUUACUGUAUAAACUUGUAGAAAGACCUUUAAGCAACAGUUUUACUGUAUAAAGCUACUUGGGA